GAUUAAUACCCCAUAACAUAGCAUUAUCGCAUGAUAAAGUUAUUAAAGGAGUAAUCCGCUAUGAGAUGGACCCGCGGCGCAUUAGCUAGUUGGUGAGGUAACGGCUCACCAAGGCCACGAUGCGUAGCCGACCUGAGAGGGUGAUCGGCCACAUUGGGACUGAGACACGGCCCAGACUCCUACGGGAGGCAGCAGUGGGGAAUAUUCCA
rnacentral:rRNA from 1 species